CUCGGUAUCUUGGAGAUCAGGGCCUGAGUGAAUGAGAAGGAGGACUCUAUCUGCAGCUGUCAAGGAUCAAUGUGUUUUGCCUCAAAGGUGUGCUUCAGUGAUGAAUAUUGAUCAUGAGGAAGCCCAUGUGCUAGUCAGUUUUUACUAAUCCCACCGAAGAAAAUGAAGCCACGUUUCAGCUUUGCCAAUCCUUUUCCCACCACUGUUGGCUGAAUGAGAAAUGGUCGUGUGAUUAUGCUGACACCCCAGCAUGCAUUUAGUAGACCUGUGGUUAACUCGUUCCCUCUCCAUGUGUCUGCUCUUACAAAGUUUUGUCCUCAUGAUACUGUGCUUUCAUUCUGCCAGUAUGUGCCCAAAAGGCUGCCUCUGUUCUCACUCCGGAGGUCUGAAUGUCAGCUGUAGCAAUGCAAACCUCAAGGAAAUACCCAGAGAUCUUCCUCCAGAAACAGUCUUACUUUAUUUGGACUCCAAUCAGAUAACAUCUAUCCCCAACGAAAUUUUUAAGGAUUUGCACCAACUGAGAGUCCUCAAUUUAUCAAAAAACGGGAUUGAGUUUAUAGAUGAACAUGCCUUUAAAGGGGUGGCAGAAACCUUGCAGACUCUGGAUUUGUCUGACAACCGAAUUCAAAGUGUGCACAAAAACGCUUUCAACAACUUAAAGGCCAGAGCCAGAAUUGCAAACAAUCCCUGGCACUGUGACUGCACGCUGCAGCAGGUGUUGAGGAGCAUGGCCUCCAACCACGAGACAGCCAACAACGUCAUCUGCAAGACUUCUGUGCUGGAUGAACAUGCGGGGAGACCGUUCCUCAACGCUGCCAACGAUGCUGACCUCUGCAACCUUCCUAAAAAGACUACUGAUUAUGCCAUGCUGGUCACCAUGUUUGGCUGGUUCACCAUGGUGAUCUCAUAUGUGGUUUAUUACGUCCGGCAAAAUCAGGAGGAUGCAAGGAGGCACCUUGAGUACUUGAAAUCCCUGCCAAGCAGGCAAAAGAAACCAGAUGAAGCCGAUGACAUUAGCACUGUGGUAUAGUAUUCUGAAUACAAUGACUGCCUUUGUGAUGAAAACUAGAUUUGGAUGACGCUGAAACCAGAGGUUUACUUCUAACAUUCAUUGUAAACAUUAAGACUUUUGUUGGGUUGUUUUGUUGUUUUUUUUUUUUUCCUGUUUAACUGAAUUAUGCCACUGUUGAGCUUUCUAACAGAAAGUUUUGUCCGGAUGGUAUACUUUAAUUAUUUCUCUGGUGGUAUACUAAAGCAAGUGAACUAAUAUGUAAACAUUAGUUUAGACCCAUUCCACUAUUUAAUAAUGAAAUUUAUUUUUUUAAUUUAAAAACCAAAUAAAAGCUUAAAUUUGAACCAUGUAAAGCAGAGUAGUUUAUUAAUCAGAAUCCUGUCCAGUGCCAGAGCACGCCUGAUUUGAUCAGUGCUCAUGAGGUAAAAGAGAGAAGCGAUGACGAAGUGGGCUGUGAAAGGUCUAGGAGUGGAGAGUCCCCAAAGGGCACUUCUCUCCUUGGGGUGCAAGGUGAAGAGCUGGUGAAUGGUAGCCCUUUCUGGGGGCUGCUUGCUGUGACAGGAGAGGGGCACAGUGUGGGGAAAGCAGAGUACCCUGACUCUGGGUGUAAGAGACCGAUGCUUGGGUAAGAUCCCAGAGGGCAUUUCGACAGCUGAAGAGGAGCCAGCAUGAAGGAGCAGCAUUGCAGGACAAUGAAGAGAGGUAUUGGAUUGAGCACAACAGAGAACCAACGUUUCUGCACAAACUGAGAAGAUGCCAGUGAAAGGCACUGCAUGAUCUGGCUGAAGAUUUGAAGAGCAAACAGAUGGCACCCAUCACUGCAGGCCUGAUGAAGCUGUUUCUGAUAAACUUGGUUUGAAACACCAGUUCUCAUCCCAUGUGGAAAACCACAUUGGUUUAUGGCACAGAGACUUCAGCUCUUCUAGCCUCCAGUCCCCAUGCAUGGGUGUGUGCACUUGUAUGGGUGUGGUAACAUUUGACUGGGCUAUGUUUUGCUGGUAGAAGACUGGGAAUUUAUAUGCCCAACAUCAUGGGUUAGUGCAUGUACAGAUGAUGGGCUUGGGCAGCAGCAAUAUCCUGGAGAAUCCAUCCACAGGCUUGUUGGAGCAUGGGUGGGAGAGGGUCAGAGGAUGCUCGCUAUGAUCAUGUGCUAUUUCAGUACUGAUAUAAAAGGUUCAUGGUUAUUUUGUCUUCUGUUCCCUUACUAGCCUAAUACUGGAACCUUUUCUGUAAAAAUGAAAGCAGAAUAACUUAACUCGUUACUUAUCACUGCCAUAACACAGAAGCACUUAAUUACUGAAUGUUAUAUGUCAUGUCAGAGCCUGCCAGGUUGCUUUUGUCUGAGGCCACUUCCAGGGCAAGGAGUCAGCCAAGUUCCCUGUUUGACCGUGGGCACCUUCCUCUGAGCAAAGACACACCUUGCUUGCCUGACAGCUACGCUUGGGGGGUUCUCCAUCUCCUUCAGUGGCAAGCUACCUGCCUGUCUCUCAGACAUAGUGCUUUUCUAUAUGUAUGUAAACUUAAUUUCCUAUUGGAGAGAAGAGGUCAAGCAGAGGGCCAGGGAGAGGUGUGGUGGGAAUCUGCUCCUUGUGCUCUUAGGGAGAAAGGAGUAGCUGGGGUGGAUGAAGGAUGACCUGAUUUGAAGCAAGGAGUUACAGAAUUGCCUGGAAAAGACAGCCAGAAACCUGGUAGUCUGUAUUCGGGAGAAGCCCUGAGCUCUCUGUAGAGAGAGAAGGAAGGGGUGGGAGAGGCUGAGGUAGGAUGUUUACCUGGAGAGGAUGCUCUGUGUGGGGGUAUACAUUCAUUUGGGGAGCUACUGGGGAGGGAAAGGGGGAUGCAGAGGGAAUUCCCCCAUUCAGUCAUUGCUGACAGCUUGACUUGUUUUCUACCUUCCAUAACACUAAUAUCCAUAAUAUAAAACAUUAAUGUUGCUCUGUGCUCUGGAAAGGCUCUCUGAGGACAAAGCUGAACUGAGAGAGAGGGGUGUUAGGAUGCUUAUGCUUCUGAUGAAGAGAUCAGUUCCCCAGUCCCCCCUGGCCUGGCCAGAGUGUUUCUCCCUUUACACCUGCAGCCUUUGAGGCCCCUGUGUCAUGGGAACCUGGGUCGGUAGGAGGUGUCCCACUGCUGGCCCUGUUCCCACUGUGAGGCUAGUUCUCACUGAGCAGGGUGAGGGAGAAAAGGUGCCAGCUGCUAUGGUGGCUGCUGCGUUGAUCAGCCACUGCUACCCCACAGCUUGCCUGAUGCAUGGCUCUUCCCUGCCCAGUCCUCAUCAACUCUGAAGAGGAAAGAUAUUCUUCUUUUCAGGCAGCAAAUUGUAAAUAAUGUCCAUGUUCUGCUCUCCCACAGAAGGGCGUUUAAACCAGCUGUACGUGUCUUUCAACAUGCAGGGAAGAUGUAGUGAAGAAGGGAGCAGGCUAUAUAAAUCAAGUCAUCCCUUGCAUGCUUCUUCUGCUGUGUCUGUUUAAAAAUUCAUAAACUGGGAGAUCACCUACUCUGCUGUAAUGCCUUCCUGGGUGUAAUCCAAAAGUGUAGAGAGUCAGAUCCUUACCUACAGUAGUUUAAUGUAAUUCCAUUAAAAUCAAAGGAGCUGUUCUCAUUUAUCACAGUGAAGGUCCUCUUGCAGAAAGCAUUUUUAACUGCCAGCAUCCUCACUGAGCAUGAAAGAAAGAAAUCCAUGGUGAUUUGGUGGGCAUAUUUAGCCCAUCUAGUUUAAAGGUGCUUGUUUUUCCUAUUUCAGUUGUGCCCAUGGGCUCCUAUUAGAGAAAAAGAUACUGAUAGAAGUUUAUUUCAGCAUUGACUUAAGCUGUCAGGGCUAAGUAGAUCAAGAAGAAUAUCACUCAGAUGAAGAGAGCUUCAAGGCUUUGUAGAUAACAAAGAGAAUCUAAUUUUAAUUAUGAUCUUCAGUGAAUUUUGAAAAGGUCAUAUUCUUUCAUCAAUGUGUGGAAGGACAAGGAGCAUCUCUACAUGAACUCCUCUCCCACCCUAAAGGUAGUAGCACUCCUGGCUUUUAGCCCAAAGCCUAGGAAGGCCAAUAUGACUUGUUUGUUCCCUAGAAUUAUCUGGUACAGUAUUAAAAUGUCACUGUUGCACUGCAAGGGCAGUAAAGCGGGUCUAAGAAAGAGCAGUUAUAAUCUAACUAGAAAGUACUAGGGACAGGUAAAGACUUGUGUCUCUUCUCCUUCUUCUUGUAAGAGCAUGCUAGUAUAGCACAAAGACAUGGAGACAGAAGAAGCAAGAAGCCUGUAUGUGUUCAGAAGGCCUAUUAUGACCAUGUUAGUUUUGUUAUAUAUUUAUCCUCCAGAAAGUUGACAACGAAGCAAUUAGUCCACCCAAAUGCACUUAUAUAUAAUUGUCUCUCUCUGUGUAAACAGAUACAUAUACAUGGCAGGGUGUCUUGUGAAUGCAAAAUGAUGUGUACUGAACCACAUUUUCUGAUAUUUUUCUCCAAGUUUCUUAUCCUCCCACUAAUUCCUGGCACGUUGCUGUAGCUAAAACUUCCCUGAACUUUUUUCACAUGACAUUAAUUGUUUGCCAAUGAACAGGGUCUGAUUAGCAAGUUGUUAAAACUGAACUUGUGAGAUGCUGUACGUUUUAUGCUAAAACGCAAGUAUUCUUGUUGACACAAGACAUACUUCCCUCCCAGUUUGGAGGUACCUCCCCUACCCAAUAAGAUUUAAAAGAUUUAAAUGACUUUUAAAAUGUCAGUCUCAGGCUUUUUCUUAACUUAAAAACUGUACUUUUGAACUAGAGGUUAAUUAACUCUAGUGGAUAUAAUACUAGUAUUACGUCCCUUGCUUCUAUGAGGAGUCUACAGAGAAAUGGUUUGCAAGCAGGCACCCUGCAUUUAAAAAUAACCUUGUUUUGCAGGCAUAUAUAACUUCUUUUAAAUACAGUUGCUGUCCCUACCUAAGGUCCUUAUAAUUGUCAAGGAAAUGAGAAUUUCUCUGGGGCUGUUAUCACUAUAAUUCCAUGAAAUAUAGUUGAGUACCUUAAAUGUAAGCCCUUGUUGCCUGCUGCUGGCCUCCUCUAGGACCUCAUCAUUCUUAGAUGUGAAUGGUAUAGAUGCAAGACCUGUCUGUUGGAGUGCUUGAUAUCAACAAAGGCUGAGAAACUCCAGAUGAAGUACAGAAGUUUUGCCCAACUUUUAGACAAAUAUACUUUGGUAAAGGUUACCUGUGAGGAAAAGAUAUAUGGAGGAUGCCUGGAAAGGUGUUCAGAAAACAAAUGGUUUGGUUUUCUUUUUUCCCCUCUUGCUUGUUUUUCACUUCUGAAAUUGAAGUCCUGUAGGGGCUGCAGAAUUUUACAGUGACUGGAGAAAUAUCAAAGUGGUGAAUUGCCACCGCCGAAUGAGGUGAUGGUCAAUAAGAGACAGGAAAAGGUUUUUUAAGUCAGACUACCUCAAACUCUUCUAGCAUGUAAUUUUUUUUUUUUUGCAGUGGCUAAUUAACAUAGGAUAAAAGAAAUCUUAAAGUCUUUAAAUGGAGAUGCAAGAACUCAAAGAUCCAUGCUGUAUCCUUUAUUAAGGCUUGGAAAGUUCGGAAGACUAAACUCAAGAUCUUUCAGAUAGGUCUAAAGUAAAAGUAGAAGAAAAUCAAGAAGGUUUUAGCUUUAUUCUCUUCAUCUGUCCUUUACCAGGUAAUUUAGCCACCAAAUAGACAAGGAGAACAAGCUCCAUACAAGAUACAUAUAUUCUCUCAUGUCAGCUGCAAUGAAAGGAAUAUUUGGUGAACAGGUUUUAUCUGCUGCUUUAAUUUCUUCUAAUUCCCCAAAGUUUUAAGCUGAUCUGUGUUCCAGCUCUAAGUAUCUGUAUUAGGACCAGAUUUACAAAGCCUCAAGCAAAAGUCUGAUUGAGAUUUUAUAAAUCUGGCCUUAAUGAGGAGACUUAGAGCUGGAUUACUCAGACUGUUUCAGAAGUCAAGAGGAUUAAAAACUUGUCUUAAAGAACAAGGCUUCCCUAGCAUCUUCUUAAUGAAGACCCUAAGUAUAGAAAUGCCUAUAUAGGAAGGUAAAAGACAGAAAUCAAAGCAUCUUUCUUUAAAAUAAUAAAAAAAUUUCUUUGUUUCGAAACUGCUGCCUGGGAGAGUGAAGCCAAGUCCAGGACCUCUUGUUGUGCCAAGCUAUGGUGCUCACAGAUGCUGCGUGAGGCUCUAUGGGCAUACUGCUGCCAUCAGGGUGGGAAUCGAGCAGAUAGGAGUUGCUCUUUCUAGCUUCAGCGGGGGCAAGGGCAAGUUGUGGGCUGGGCUCUCUCACACCACACGGUGGGUUUUCAACCUGGUCAUCAGCAAGAGUUGGUGCUGCUCCUGCCUCCAUGCCCUGAACCUUCACCACGGUGCAUGGGGCUGGGAUGGUGCUCAUAUCCCAUAUCAACUCCAGGUGUGAGGAUGUUUGUGACAAAUGUUUCUUCCCUCUUCGCUUUGCUUCUUCCUGUCAGUUGCUGAAGGCAAGAUUUGGUCCUCUGGAUAAAUACAGAACAAUGACAAACCCCAGCAGGGUCUACAGCUGGGGGUACUCAGCAGAUACAUGCAGAUCCAAGCUCUGCAAAAAGAGCUUGCCGGUUCAUGCCAGACCCAUUAAUGAGAGGAGGUGUGUUUGGAAACAGAGUUGCAUGUUUUGAGGACAUUGUUUUCUAAAUACAAUGUAUUAACUAUUAUAUCUCUUGUGCCUGUGGUUGGAGGGGGGCUGCAUUGUGAGAACAAGACCUAAAGAACUGCUCUAAAACACAUGCAGCUCUCUAAUGUCCACUUUCAAAAAGAGGACAUUGCUUUUAUAUCAUGUUUUCUAGGGGAAAACUACAUUUACUUCAGUGACUCGAAUGAGGAUUAAAGGCUCAGAGUAUCUGAAUGCUUGGCCAUUCAUUACAGCUAAAGGUCUUGGUGUCAGACAUCAUAUCCUAAUGGAGUACAUAUUAGCCAGCUGGCCAGGAAAGUCUAGCUUUAGAAAUAUGUGACAUACUGAAGUGCUUCCAUUUUACUCACCAAAUUCAGCGUGAAGAUCAAUUUGUGCAUCUGCAAGCUCUUCAAAAGUAGCUGACAACAAAAUAGCUUGUUUGCUCAGAGAUAAACUUCUGCGGCUUCUUACAUGCUGUGAGUCUCUGAGUCCACCUUCCUCUCUCAUUUUUGUGGUUACAGGUUGGGGAAACAGUAGAAAACCUUAAGAGAGACUAGGAUAAAAACUAUUCUCUGGGGCAGAAUAUUAGGAUUAAGAUGAACUGUGUUUUAUGUGGUCCCCUAAUGCACUCAUCUGUUUAAACUAUUUUCUCUCACCUAAGAUCUGUCAAUGUUGGGAACAUCUGCUAAGGUGUUCCACUGCGUGUUAUGGGUAUGCCAUUGAGGAAAGCAAGUGUAAAACUUUAUAUAAAGGGGAAUGCAGAAUGCUCUUCCUCAUCAUCUCUGUCUACCAUAAAACAAACAAACAAACAAAAAAAAAAACACACUGAAGUUUGCACAAGGAUUUCUGGUUGGUUGGCCAGUUUUGAAUUAAAUUAUCAAAGAUCUUACAUUUCUCUUAAGUCCUCAAGCACAUUUGCACUUUCCCCUGUUACUGUGCCUGUUAUAAAAGUUGAAAGGUACUGUCUUUUCUUAGACUCAUGGAUAUAGCUGAGGGAAAAAAAGGGGGAGAAAACCCAACAGACAAGGUCUUGCAAACUGCAGGGACUGCAGAAAUACUUGCUUGCUUGUUUUUCUCCCAAUUAUGUCAGUUGGCCUACAAAAACAUGUCAGCUCCUCCCACGUACCUUGCCAGAGGCCUUAUAUUAUGACAGCUAAAACAAUGCUAUUGCUGUUUAAAUGAAUGCAGUGUUUUCAACUUUUGAGAGCAAAUAGUAUUCAUCAUCCUCCUAAUAUCGAUAUCUGCACAGGAGAACACUGGUUAGUAAUCAACUUCUUGUUUUAAAAGCUUGUCUGAAAACAUCCCCGACUCCACUGACCACUUUGCUAGAUAAUCUUGUUCUAGUCCGAUGCCAAUAUUCAAGACAGGGUCUUCUGUCAAAAUGGAGAACACAGAGUCUGGUAAAUAUGUAAUAAUUUUAAAGUGGAUUUCAAACAAUUCAGUUUUCAUGUUUUUCACUAAAUGGUCUGAAAGAGUUUUCCCAUUAUUAACCAAAGAUGUUUGCACAGAGUUGUUAAUCAGAUUUUGCAUUGCUGCAGACAUAGUUUGCAGUUUGUAGUACUGCAGAGCCUCAGACAGCCCCUUCUCUGCUGGGAGAGAAAGAAACACACGGUGAGGCUUCCUUGGCAUUUUUGUGCACACGUUUCUUAAGACUGUUUGCAAGGUUAACAGCAGAGUUGCCAGUGAGGAACAAGACUCUUGUGCACAGAAGGCAGAAUAUACUCGUGUAUGUAUGUAUGUACAGGCUCACUCUAGAAAAGACUUGAACAAAGUCUACAUUAAUAGGACGUAAUGAAAGAAAAGUGGUGACUGUGUGACUAGUUGCAUGGUUCUGAAACCAAUAUUUCUAAAAUAGUUAAAUAUAAAUAAUCAGACCAUUGGUACAUUUUUGCUGCUUGUAAAACUUCUUAGUAGCACUUUGCACCAUCCUGUGAGCUUUGCAGUGACAGAUGAUGACACAUUUGUUGCAGGAUAAGGUAGAUAGUUGGUUCACUGAUCAGAUCAUCAACAGAUUAAGUUUUUCAGGCAAAAAGAAAAUAAUGAAAAAAAUCUCUAGGACAUUUCUGGUCAAAGCAAACCAAGGGGAAAAUAUUAAGAGAACAAGAAGGGUUAUUAUUUUUUCCUACUGCACUGUGUUUCAUGAUGUUGCAGCACAGAAUUCAAGUUGGUGGCAACUCUGCUUGAGUCUUAAAAGAGAUUUCUAAGCACUUGAGGAGAGCUGGUUCAAAAUGAUAUGAAAAAAUGGACUUUUUUCUGGAGAAGUUGUUGAUGUUUUGCAAACAGCUCCAAGUAGUGUUGAAAUUUUCCUGCUAUUUUUUGGGUUUUUGUUCCUCUGAAGAAAACUGUGUGUUACUUUACUGCUUCAUUGAAAAAUUAUCUUGUAACCUUGAGGCAUUUAUAUCAGUUUUAUUUCAUUUUAGCCCAUUCAGCUGCAAAAUAAGCAUAGUGAAUCAAAGCUGUUGGCUUAGCUGGUUUAAAAUUUGUUGGCUUCCAUUUAAAGCCAAUAACCAUAACGCUUCCAUAACACUUUCUGGCUGUGCUAGUUCUCAAAGAAAUACACUCGUACAGCUUUCACUGAUCUUUGGGAAGGCUGGAACUCUAUUUUGUAAAUAAACGUAUUUUCAAAGCUAUCAAAAGUUUCAAUUAAACGGUGUGAUUUUUGUGUUAUCAGAUUAUUCCUUAGCCUUAUUAAAACAAAUAAUAGAGCACUUUCUACCAUUUACUCCAUUUUAAAAUACACCAUUCUGAAAUGGUUCAUACAAGGCUGCUCAGCUAUGAAUGUGCAAAAUGGAUGCAGUGACCCGGCAGUGCAUCUGAGGAGCUGGCUCUGCUACAGCGCUUUGCAUUUAGCCACUGUGGGAGAAAGCCACUUCUGGAUGCAAUUAUCCUGGUGCUGCGUGAAGUCUCAGAAGUCAAAUGGUCCUACUUAAACGGGAGUCACAGUCUCAGUAGGCUGAAGUCCGUGCAGUACUGUGAAAGUUCACGGCACUACACUAAUUAACAACAACAAGGGUACUGAGCUCAGUCUUCAUGAGCGUGGCAAUAGUAAUGCUGAGCUUGGCUUCCUGAAGCUCAGCAGCAUUGUAAGGAAACAGUCCAGUCUCAGCUCUCCAGGAAUGAAGUUGCUUCUUCAGUGGAUAAGAACAGUUAAGCUCAGUUGCACAAAACAUAUGUUGCUUGCAUAAGAUACAUUUUGGGUGAAAACUCUGCUUUUAAUUAUAGACAGUUGCAUAAAAUGUCAGUGAUUAAAGCACAGAUUUAGCAGUAUUCUUGGCCUGCACGAUACCAACCAGAAAGCAUGUUUCUCCUCCUGUUUAUGCCUCUUGGAGCAGAAUUUCUCCAACUUUAUGAAAAUUUUUUAUUCAAAUGAAAAAAAAAUCAACCAAAGAGAAAAAUAGCAUUUCCUCAUCUAUUCUGUCUCUCGAGAUUUCUCAACAGUGAAACUGCUCAGGAUGGGAUCCAGAACAAGCUGACAGGGCUGUUUUGAAACAGGGGAAAAUGGAGAUCUAAUAGCUCACUUCAAAGCAAGAACACUAAAAUUCAGGUUUAGGUUGUCUGAGGCAAUCUUAGCCUUUGGUGUUCUUCUGUCCGUAGACUGGUGGGGAAUGCCCAUCCUUUAAAAUCACCAGUUGCUGCUGAUAAGUAAAAUGCCUUCAGUAAUUCUCCAGAGCCUGAGAUAAUUAUAUCCAAGGCAAAGCUGGCAAGGUUUGAAAUCUGAUCAGAUAUAUAUCCAGCUGAGCAUGAUCCACUCAAGUAUUUGUUCUGAUUUAGCCAUUGUCAUUCCAAAAAUACUGCCACAGAGGAAAAGAUAAACAUGAUCCCUUCUUUUUUAGGACUGUUACCAUCUGUAUCAUAGCUACCAAAUGUUUCUUGCUUAACAUGUAUUUAAAAUUAACCUAGUCUAUGCAUCGACUGCCUUUACUGUUAGCAUGAUAUAGUAAUCACAACUCCACAGAAUGCGGUCUACUUCAAUAAACAUUU